rnacentral:rRNA from 1 species
UGCCGGCGACCGGCGGACGGGUGCGUAACGCGUAUGUAACCUACCUUUGACAGGGGGAUAACAUCGAGAAAUUGGUACUAAUACCCCAUAACAUCACCGGAGGCAUCUUCGGUGGUUGAAAACUCAGGUGGUCAGAGAUGGACAUGCGUUGUAUUAGCUAGUUGGUGAGGUAACGGCUCGCCAAGGCGACGAUACAUAGGGGGACUGAGAGGUCAACCCCCCACAUUGGUACUGAGACACGGACCAAACUCCUACGGGAGGCAGCAG